rfam:Aeromonas diversa 2478-85 Contig 35, whole genome shotgun sequence.
UGUUUGAAAAGGCAAACUGAACUGAAAGGUCAGGACGCAAAGCCUCCGGUCUAAUAACGCUGCGGCGUUGACGAUAGCGGGGUUGCCAAA